rnacentral:rRNA from 1 species
AGCGAACGCUGGCGGCAGGCCUAACACAUGCAAGUCGAACGAACUCUUCGGAGUUAGUGGCGGACGGGUGAGUAACACGUGGGAACGCGCCUUUAGGUCCGGUAUAACGCAGGGAAACUUGUGCUAAUACCGAAUGUGCCCUUCGGGGGAAAGAUUUAUCGCCUUUAGAGCGGCCCGCGUCUGAUUAGCUAGUUUGGGAAGUAAAGGCUCACCAAGGCGACGAUCAGGAGCUGGUCUGAGAGGGUGAUCAGCCACAUUGGGACUGAGACACGGCCCAAACUCCUACGGGAGGCAGCAGUGGGGAAUCUUGCGCAAUGGGCGAAAGCCUGACGCAGCCAUGCCGCGUGAAUGAUGAAGGUCUUAGGAUUGUAAAAUUCUUUCACCGGGGACAAUAAUGACGGUACCCGGAGAAGAAGCCCCGGCUAACUUCGUGCCAGCCGCCGCAGUAA